GACGAAGGAUGCAAGCGUUAUCCGGAUUCAUUGGGGUUAAAGGGAGCGUAGGCGGCUUUAUAAGUCCGUGGUGAAAUCUCUCGGCUUAACCGAGAAAUUGCCAUUGAUACUGUAGGGCUUGAGUACAGUUGCCGUUGGCGGAAUAUGACAUGUAGUGGUGAAAUACAUAGAGAUGUCAUAGAACACCGAUUGCGAAGGCAGCUAACGAAGCUGUAACUGACGCUGAGGCUCGAAAGUGCGGGGAUCAAACAGG
rnacentral:rRNA from 1 species